rnacentral:tRNA from 1 species
CAAAGAAUAGUUUAAUUAGAAUGAGAGCUUUGGGAGUUUUCGGCAGGGGUGAAAAUCCCUUUUCUUUGA